rnacentral:tRNA from 1 species
GCGUUUAUAGCUCAAUUGGAUAGAGUUUUGGGUUUCGGCCCCAAAGGUGUAGGUUCGAGUCCUACUAAACGUA